GAUGAACGCUAGCUACAGGCUUAACACAUGCAAGUCGCGGGGCAGCAUGGGGGUUGCUUGCAAUCCCCGAUGGCGACCGGCGCACGGGUGAGUAACGCGUAUCCAACCUGCCCUUCACCACGGGAUAACCCGGCGAAAGUCGGACUAAUACCGUAUGUUGUCCAUUGACGGCAUCCGAUUUGGACGAAAGGUUUGGCGGUGAAGGAUGGGGCUGCGUCCGAUUAGCUGGACGGCGGGGUGACGGCCCCCCGUGGCGACGAUCGGUAGGGGUUCUGAGAGGACGGUCCCCCACACUGGAACUGAGACACGGUCCAGACUCCUACGGGCGGCAGCAGUGAGGAAUAUUGGUCAAUGGGCGUAAGCCUGAACCAGCCAAGUAGCGUGCAGGAUGACGGCCCUAUGGGUUGUAAACUGCUUUUAUGCGGGGAUAAAGUGGCCCACGUGUGGGUUUUUGCAGGUACCGCAUGAAUAAGGACCGGCUAAUUCCGUG
rnacentral:rRNA from 1 species